rnacentral:misc_RNA from 1 species
UCUCCGUAGGUGAACCUGCGGAGGGAUCAUUACUGAGUGAGGGCUUCGGUCCGACCUCCAACCCUUUGUGAACCAAACUUGUUGCUUCGGGGGCGACCCUGCCGCUUCGGCGGUGCGGCGCCCCCGGAGGCCAUUAAACACUGCAUCAUUGCGUUGGAGUUAAAGUAAAAUAAACAAAACUUUCAACAACGGAUCUCUUUGUUCCAGCAUCGAUGAAGAACGCAAC